rnacentral:rRNA from 1 species
AUAUAUGGCCAUAUCACAUUGAAUGCUCUGGUCCUUGUCCGAUAACCAAAGUUAAGCAACGUCGAGCACAGGGGUUACUUAAAUGGGUGACUGCUUGGGAAACCUAGGUGCCAUAGGCA